AGGAAGAGUAGUAUGCACCUUUGUUGAAAUUAAGGGUUAUGGCCGGGCACGGUGGCUCAUGCCUGUAAUCCCAGCACUUUGGGAGGCUGAGAUGGGCAGAUCACGAGGUCAGGAGAUCGAGACCAUCCUGGCUAACAAAAUACAAAAAAUUAGCUGGGCGUGGUGGUGGGUACCUGUAGUCCCAGCUACUUGGGAGGCUGAGGCAGGAGAAUGGCAUGAACCCAGGAGGUGGAGCUUGCAGUGAGCCGAGAUCAUGCCACUGCAGUCCAGCCUGGGCAACAGGGUGAGACUCUCAAAAAAAAAAAUAAUAAUAAUAAUAAGGUUAUCCGAAUAUUGUGGUGUGUACCUGUGGUUCCAGCUACUUGGGAGGCUGAGGUGGGAGGAUUGCGAGUCUGGGAGGUUGAGGCUGCCAUGAGCCAUGAUUGUGCCACUGCACUCCAGCCUGGCAGACACAAUGAGAGCAAGGGUCUAUAUGUUAUCACUUACUUAAAUGGUAGAAAUUAAACCAGGGUCCACUUAUAUAACAAGUAUUAUUUAGAUUUGAAUUUUAGAGAAGGAAAACUUAGGUCAUCUUAUAAGCUGGAUUGUUUUACACUAUAUAAUAGACAACCUGCCAAUAGCUGAGUAAAAACAGAGAUCCAUUUAUCCCCAUAUUCUAGGGGUUCCCCCUUGACGUGAUUCCCAGUGCUCUGAUACUUCCCCUGUAUAUAAGUCUGAUCACUUGUGCCAUAAGGCAAUCCCCUUCAAUGGUCCUACACCAUAAGGCCAUCCUCUUUACUUACCCUUUGUUCACAUGUGGGUCUGCUAAAAAAAGGCCUCUGCCUUCCAAACUACCAUGAGCUCCUUAUAAGUCCUUAGGUUGCAGGCUUGGGGAAACAAAUACAAUCCAGGCUCAUCCUCUCAGUGUGCUCUGUUCCAUCUGCCCCAGAGCCCAGGGAGGGGGAUGCCGGCUUCCAGAACAAUCCCUGCUGCAGUGGAGGUGCUGGUAUUUCUUAGCUCCACCUAUAAUAACAAAACAUUUAAAAUGUCAGCUGAAUUUAAUUUUUUUGCCAGCCUAAUAAAAAGGAAAUAUAAUUUGUAGGAAAGAAAAUAAACCAGAGAUGGCUUACUUCAUAAAAUAAUUUUAUAUAGAAUUCCUUUUAAUCACAAACAUUAAUAUAUGUUCUUGAUUCAUUGGUAAAUUUGCUUGACUUUUACAAAAAAGCUGUACACUCUUACAAAAAAGCUGUACACUCUUAAAGGAUCCCAUUAGAACUCAGAACAAAGUUUCUGCUGUCACUGUUUAAUAAAAGUAG
rnacentral:lncRNA from 1 species